AUCGUGGAAGUGGAUCAAGGGGAAGG
rnacentral:piRNA from 1 species